rnacentral:tRNA from 1 species
AUUGGUCUCGUCUAACGGUAAGACAGGAGCUUUCAAACCUCAAGAUAGGAGUUCGACUCUUCUGACCUUUG